rnacentral:rRNA from 1 species
GUACACUCCUGCGGGAGGCAGCAGUGGGGAAUUUUGGACAAUGGGCGAAAGCCUGAUCCAGCAAUGCCGCGUGAGUGAAGAAGGCCUUCGGGUUGUAAAGCUCUUUUGUCAGGGAAGAAACGGUGAGAGCUAAUAUCUCUUGCUAAUGACGGUACCUGAAGAAUAAGCACCGGCUAACUACGUGCCAGCAGCCGCGGUAAUACGUAGGGUGCAAGCGUUAAUCGGAAUUACUGGGCGUAAAGCGUGCGCAGGCGGUUUUGUAAGUCUGAUGUGAAAUCCCCGGGCUCAAACUGGGAAUUGCAUUGGAGACUGCAAGGCUAGAAUCUGUCAGAGGGGGGUAGAAUUCCACGUGUAGCAGUGAAAUGCGUAGAUAUGUGGAGGAACACCGAUGGCGAAGGCAGCCCCCUGGGUCAAGAUUGACGCUCAUGCACGAAAGCGUGGGGAGCAAACAGGAUUAGAUACCCUUGUAGUCCC